GGGGGCCGGGCUGCGAACAUCCAACAGCGUUGGACAAUCAAUAAGCGGAGGAGCAUAUCAAUAAGCGGAGGAGCAUAUCAAUAAGCGGAGGAGCAUAUCAAUAAGCGGAGGAGCAUAUCAAUAAGCGGAGGAACAUAUCAAUAAGCGGAGGAACAUAUCAAUAAGCGGAGGAACAUAUCAAUAAGCGGAGGAACAUAUCACUAAGCGGAGGAACAAAUCAAUCGGAGGAGGAUAGGUAAUGUGAAUUGCAGAAUUCAUUGAAUCAUCAAAUCUUUGAACGCAUCUUGCGCUCCUUGGUAUUCCUCGGAGCAUGCCUGUUUGAGUGUCGUGAAUAUCUCCAUUAAAAGAUUUUUUCUUUUAACGGGUCCUUGGGCUUGGUGAUGAGAUUACCCUCUUUGUAUCACCUUGCCUUAAAAGUAUGAGUGGAUGAGUGUCAGCCAUAGAUUUUUGUUAAGGCAAACCCAUAAAAAUCUUGUGCUUUUGUCAUCUGCUACCAAACAAACACACACAUAUGCAUAAUUCUUUAUGUAUUCCUUUCUGGCCUCAAAUCAGGUAAGAUUACCCGCUGAACUUAANCAUAUCAAAAAGCGGAGGACCG
rnacentral:rRNA from 1 species